UACGUAGGGUGCGAGCGUUGUCCGGAAUUAUUGGGCGUAAAGAGCUCGUAGGCGGUUUGUCGCGUCUGCUGUGAAAUCCCAGGGCUUAACCCUGGGCCUGCAGUGGGUACGGGCAAACUAGAGUGCGGUAGGGGAGAUCGGAAUUCCUGGUGUAGCGGUGAAAUGCGCAGAUAUCAGGAGGAACACCGGUGGCGAAGGCGGAUCUCUGGGCCGUAACUGACGCUGAGGAGCGAAAGCGUGGGGAGCAAACAGG
rnacentral:rRNA from 1 species